rnacentral:rRNA from 1 species
UACGAAGGGUGCAAGCGUUAUUCGGAAUUACUGGGCGUAAAGCGUGCGUAGGCGGUUUGUUAAGUCCGUUGUGAAAGCCCUGGGCUCAACCUGGGAAUUGCAGUGGAUACUGGCGGGCUAGAGUGCGGUAGAGGAAGGUGGAAUUCCCGGUGUAGCGGUGAAAUGCGUAGAGAUCGGGAGGAACACCCGUGGCGAAGGCGGCUAUCUGGACCGGCACUGACGCUGAGGCACGAAAGCGUGGGGAGCAAACAGG